GUAAAGCAGUUAAAUGGGUAGGAAGAAAGCAUUAACUGAACAACAAGUUAAAAGGCAGACAGCACAAUGAGUCUUGAUGAGAAGGAAACCUUUCUAGGGUGUGGACAGGUCUCAGACUAGCAAAGAUGCCAGCAAUGAAAAGAUUGGAGAGCGAUCAAGAUGUUCACACGAUUAUCCAACCUCCUUCCCCCCCCCCAAAAAAAAAUAAAAGAAAGGAAGGAAGGAGGGAAGAGAGAGGAAGGAGGAAAGAGGAAGGAGGAAAAAGGAUGGGAGAAGAAAGAAGAGGAGGAAGAGAAGGGGGCAGGGAUCACAAAGAAAUCCAGGCUGAGUGUGAAGGCACAUUUCUUCCAUCCUAACAUGCAAAGUGUUGACAGAGGAAGUUCAGGUGUUUGAAGCAGCCUGUACUAAAGGAUGGGGGUGGGAGGGGUGCAGGGAAUGAGAGACUUGCGUUUUAAAGACCCUGCACGUGAUAAGCUAGGUCUGUCUAAUUGACUGGAAACCCUCUUCACAAGGUUGAAGUUAGAAUCCAUUCAUAAGAUAUUAGUUUUCAUUAAGCCUGGAAACUUGGAAGAUUGGAUGAAAUGAGGGUCUCAGUUUGCUCAGGCUUUGCUAAUUACCCCACAAAUGGCCAAAAAGGAAAAUAAAAUUAAGACCUUCAUCCUUUGACAGACUGAAUUGUUCCAAACAUCAAAAAUUAAUGUGUUCAGUUACUUCAAAGGAGUAGAAUGCAGUGGUGCCCACUAAAACCUGGAGCUGGGGAAGAGGAAAAGGGUAACUCUCCCAGGUCUGACAUGAUGGUGAUAGCACAGAAGGAAGCAAAGAAAGAGAACACGAAACCUUGGGUGUGUGAAUGAGAAAUGAGCCCCUAGUCUCAGGUAUUCGAACACAUGGUCAUAGUCGGUGGUUCAGUUUCUGGAGGUUUAGGAGGUGUGAUGGGGGCAAUAAAUCACUGGGGCAGAGGUUUGAGAAUUUAAAGACUUGAGCCACAUGUGGUUCAGUCUCUCAGUUGUGCUGCAGCUCAAUACGUGUGACCUUGGCAUCCUGCUUCAGCCAUACUAUCUAUCCCAAAGGCAAAACGGAUGGAAAUCUGCCCACAUAAGGCAGACACAUACACAGAAGAAGAAAGAGACAGACAGACAGAGAAAGGAGAAAGAGGAGAGGGGGUAGAGGAGGAAGAGAGACAGAAACAGAAGGUGUGGGUCAUGAGUUCCUAUGCUCCAUUAAUUGGUUCUAAGGGGUAAAACCAGUUCACUCCACAAUAAGGGUUAAGUCCUUCCCUUACCAAGAGCUCAGGAAGAAAGUGUGUACGUCUUUAUUCAGGGUAAUAUUUAUGCUUUCUAGAAAGAUUUAAUCCUAAAACAUUGGACAAUGGGCCUAGUUUGAACACAUUAGGCCAGAGCCUCACGGUAAUUGCUGUGUGGGUUGGAAGACACUCGGGAGAGUAGUGAACACAUUAAACAGAAAGCACGCUAUCUUUACUUAAAGGCCAAUUCUGUGUCAAGAGUCUGCAUUUAUCCCUACUGCCAACAACAAUAUACAGCACCCUUGAACUCACCAUGUUUAACUGCUAAGUAUCUUGGACAAAACUGAGAGAGAAAGGGAGAAAGGAUGACACUGGCAGUCAAUAAACAAAUUCUCCCGUCAGAGUUAACAACUCUUCCCUCAUAUUUUCCUCUUAAAUGAGUGGCUCAUCCGAGUAGCCAGAAAAAAAAAAUCCACUUUGCCAAGCUCCCGGGCAGAGAAGGAAAGGGGUCCCUGGCUACAAAGAAAUGAUGGGAGGGGAUAUGACACCGUUCCUAAGCAUGGGUGACCCUUGUUUCACUCACUGAUGGUCUACACCUCUCCUCUUCUUGGAAGAGAAAUGUCACUGUGAAUGCUUCAUUCUGCAUCUGAAAAGCAGCAGGAUAGAAUCAUGGUUCUUGUGAUACCCAGCCUUAAUAGGCACGCCCGGCAGUCAGCUCUUGGGUUCAAAUUCCAUUCUCAAAUAAGAAGAGCCACAGAUGCUUGGAGAAACUGCCGGUUCCAGGGUUGAGGCAAAGAUGCAUGAGAGAUGAGUAUGUAGGAUAUUCAAGUGUCCAAAAGGACAAUACUACCAUUUCUUAAAAAAAUAUUUUUAACGCACCACACAACAGUGGCAGGGUAUCAAUAUAUAACAGUACUAGUUUAUAGUCUAUGGAAAAGCUAAACACGCGAGUUCAUAGUGGCAAACAAAAGAGGCUUGGAAAGCAACAAAAUGGAAAAGGCCAACGAAUCCAAGUUUAGUAGGCCAAGGAGCCAAGGCCUUCUGCCCUUGAAUGUGGCCCUUCUCCCAAAACCCACAGCCCCAGAUGCAAUUACAGGAAACGCAUCAAGCCAGUUCCAGCACUGUACAAAAACCCUGACCAGAAGUCCUCACACUCAGGACAGUCAUCAAACACAGGACAGCCAGACGCACUGUUACAGCCAAAAGGCUUCAAAGACAUGUGACCACACGUGGUGUGUGAUACCAAUUGAGAGUACCUAACAGAAACGGGAACUGAGGUAAAACUUGAAGUGAUCUGAAUGAAGGCUGAACGACAGUUAAAGGACUUACAGCCUCGAACAAAUAUAGCAUCUCAAUCGGGGAUUCCAGUGACAGAAAACUGAGUGAGAGUUCCAGAAAGCUCCCUGGACCAUACGUGCAUUUUUCCCACGAUUCUAUGAAAGGGUGAGACUUAUUUCUACAGAAAAGUCCACCCAUGAUGAAUUAAAAAUAAAGAUGGGUAUUCUGGAAAAAAAUCAGCAUAUACUAUAUCAGUUUGAGAGGCUAUUAAAGAUACAUUUUGCCAUUAAGAAAGAAGGGGGGGAAGAGGAGGAGGAGAAAGACUAAAGUGGAUUACAGCUUUAAUCCCGGUACUUAGGAGGCAGAGGCAGGAGGAUCUCUGAUUGAUGUAGGCUAGGUUACAGGUUGAGUUCCAAGACAGCCAAAGGCUACAGAGAGAAACCUUGUGGGGAGGGGAGGGAAGGAAGGACGGGAAAAGAAGAGGAGGGGAGGGGAGGGGAGGGGAGGGGAGGGGAGGGGAGGGGAGGGGAGGGGAGGGCAAAAGCCAAAGCCAAAGCCAAACUGGUAACAAUUCUGACAGUCCAUGAGUCUGUUAGAGGAAAAGUGCUUUUCUGAAGGUGGUUACAAAUUAGAAACACAGAUUGGGAGAUGGCAGAUAGGUAGAUGCUGUGCAAGUAUGAAGACCUGAGUUCAACUCCCAAAUACCUCUGUAAAAAGACUGGUAUGGAUGCAUGUGCCUAUAGCUCUAGAAUUGGGAGACAAACACUGUACUCUCUUGAGCAGUUACCAGCCCAGUUACCACUGUUCAAAAUACACUAUUUAGAAGCCAGGAUGUUUAAGCAUGGUGGUUUUCCUUGGUAUUGUCACUAUCCAUCUUUCCAAGAUGAUUCCAUUUACAAUUAAUAGUUCACUUUGCCCACUGUAUCCCUCUGGCUUUCUUGUCAUUUACUUCCUCAUACUUAUUGACUCAUAGAAUUGAUUCAUUUUAACAUUAACUGCUUUGUAUCCAAACGAUUACUAAAACAUGGGAAAAUGUAACCAGAAGUUAACAUGCGUAUUGAUUUUUAAACCAGUAAGACGAAGUACAAUAAUUGCCCACUACACAACUGAAUAGGGAUACGUCUGUCUUCUUGUCCAACACAAUCCUCUUCCAUUCCACAGAAACUUUGCUUAACCAAUGUUGGGAUUAACACAUCUCUUUCCUCUAUGCCAGCAGUGGGCAUAGCGGCAUGUCUAUCUUCCCUGUCAUCCUGACAGGGUUAGGGAAAGAGGUAGCAAGCCAAUUGUAAGCUAUCGGAAAGUGGUUGUUAGUUCCCUGAGAGGAGAGUCUUUGCUGUGGAAAUUGGAGGCAGCUGGCAGCUGUACUAUUCCCACAUUAUGAUAUCUCAGAAGAGGCAAACAGCAGCCGCAAAGCUGGAAGAAGGUGGAGUGGGAAACAGACUCGGGAUGCUAUUUAAACUACAGAAUGGAGGAUGCUUAAGAAAAGAUUCACUUCUUGGAUAACCCACUUUUACAAAACCAUAAACCACAAAGCCACCUUCAAACUUCAGCCAGUCUGAACUGACUACAAAGAUCAGGGUUAGUUAGCUCCAUGUAUCAACAAACUGAAAUGGAGGUGUGGCUGAAGUAGUCACCUGCCAGAGUGUAGAGGGAGGUAGUCGGUCUAUGGUACACUAAGGUAGGCGACCAUGGAAGUAUGACUCUCUCUUCUGAAAGAACCCAAUGAUAGCCCAUUUCACAGCUCGACUAUCCUUCGGCCUGGGCAUGUUCCUCAUGAGUCAAUAUAUUAGCUUGGGCUCCAUUACAGACAAUAGAAAGGAAGACAGGAUGAGACCAAGAGUCAAAAGGAAUGCGAUGGGUUAGUUUAAAAUCUAAUUCCUUUAUUUGUAGGCAAAAUAGUACACCAUUCAUGAGAUAUGAAAAAUUCAUCAGAUAAGAACUGGGUUAUAUCUUUAACUAGGAAAUAUUACAUUCUAUAAAGCAACAGAGACAGGAAGAAACCUGGAAAAAAAGAAAAAAACAAAAACAAAAAACAAAAUCAACAACAACAACAACAACAACAACAACAACAAAAACCUAAAACCUUUGCAUAACAAGGGCACCAUUCACACAUUAGAUUAGUGCCUGGUGCUCAUAUACACCAGUGACGCAGUAGGUUGGCGCAUGGUUCUUAUAUGCACCAGGUGGCUUUAAAGAUGUGUUCACAUGCACUCAAGAUCCAGUUUUUAUCCCACUGGCUAGAACCUGCUUGUCGACAUGUAAAGUAGAGUAGCUUCACCAUGACAUCCAUGUAGACUUUAUAUCCAUGUAGAUCAUAACAAGCAGAAACUCUGUAAUAGAUAAGAAACGUCAGAACAGAGCGGCAACAACCAGCCCGAAACAGUUGGGAUUUUAUAUUUUUCCAAGCAAAGGAACAAACAGAAAUCAAAUGUUCCAUUGUAACCAUCAUUCAAUGAAUGGCUUUUUAACACCAGAAAUACAAGGCAUUAAAUCAUUUCUGACAUUCAUAUUCUAGGAAGGCCCUGUCUAUAGAAUGGCACGUAUAUAGAAACACUUAUAUAGAAAAACUUAUAUAGUAGCACCCUGCAGUGCCUGGAAACCUUUGAGAACAGAGCUUUUAUCAUGUGGUCCAAUGUUAAAACCAUAAUGAUAUAAAGCAAAGAAAGAACUAAAAAUCUAGACUAGAUCAGGAAAUUCAAUUAGGGUGGAGGGCAAACAAGAAACUCAACAGGAAAACAUAUGGAUAAAUAAUUGACAGAAAGGCAAACUCCGAAAGUCACCAGGAAGACAGCUAGCUGCUGAGCCAAGAGGAGGCCGAGCAUAAACAUUGACUCUCACCCUCUCUACCGUGCAAAUACAGGGCAGGUAACAGACAUUCGGGGGGCAAAUGAGAAAUGAGUCAAUGAAAUCUAAAUUAUUUUUGGAGAGGAAUAAACGAAAGCAGAUGGAUGAAAGGUAAAAGCACUGAUUUGGGAGCCUCAGAAAGCUGAAUGAGGCUAAGCUGACCAAGGGAAAAACGGAAAACAACUUACUCAACAACUAAAGGUCUCAGAGUCCAGGCACUGCCAGACAUAUCUGACUUUAGAAAUAGAGGAAAGUUAUUUGCUGAAAAAAACCUGGGAGACUCAUUGACAAACCAUCUAAGAAUGAAUAAGGGCCCCACUCUAAGGAACUCACCUUGAGGACUGCUGUCACAGACCCUCAGGAGACCAGAGCUUAUUUUGUGAAUAGAGUAUAAACAUAUAAGCCUCCACUGAGAGAUCAUCUAGCCAGGGGAGGGGAAGGGCUCAGACAGAGAAGGGCAUGAAAGAAAUGGCAGGACCAUGAAUCCAGGUCCUGAGCAUCCAGACUACCCACAGCUCUCUAGUUCUGUAAGUUUAAAGUUCUUAAGUUCAGAAUGUAGUUCUACAGAGAAGCCAAUCAGUCAUCGAAUAAACCCUAAAGAUGCCUCCUGCUUUGACAAGCAGUUCCCCUGUCUAGGGGCCCUCUGAGAAACCCAAAGACAAGCUCUGGAAAAGAGAAAGAAAGCUGAUUGGUGACUGAAACAGAGACAGUAUACUUCUUUAAUGCAUCCACAAGUGGAUGCUGGAAGGACAGGGAUUCUCAUCAGAACAAGUGUCGCCAGCAAUUAAACAUGACAGUGAAAGACAAAACAAGGAGAGUGUGGAUAAGAAGACAGUGAGGUCCUGGGAUGUGUUUUGUUUUAGGUUUUUAAGAAAGGAAGCAACCGAAGCUAAAGGAGAUGAGAAAGGGUGUGUUGAUAAUGAGAAUGAAAACUGAAAUCUUGGCCCAAAAUAUCCAACACUGAGUGAGAAUGUAUGUGCCUAGAAGAAAAACAAAGCUCAGACAGGACCCCCAUGUCCCCGUGAUCAUUUGACUCAAGCUCAGGCUGCUGGGAUCAACGCCUACAGAGCUAUCUUUAAGAGAAGUGCUAUCCUAAUCCUCCAACCCUUCCCAAAAUCAUCACUUGCCAUCUUAACUCUAGCGUAGCUCAAUCUGGGUCAACGAGAGUUCUAUACUUGAAAACAGAAAUCUUUAAAAGGAAGGAUUUAGGGUUCCAGAGGCAGAGGCCACUUGAUAGCUUAAAAAGCAUCGUGCACACAAGCACAUGACGGUGUAUCAUUGAGACAGACAGAAUGCAAGGAGUAAGGCAUGUGUGCCAAGACCCUGGAGAAGAUGAGCCGAAGAGAAGUUAAUUAACAAAGGAAUGGUGCUAACAGCCUCCAAGUGGAGACUAUGGUGAAAGAAUGCUUCCAAAGGCCAAAAGAAAAUGAUCUCCUGUCCUGAACAGCACAUCCAGACGCACUGUGCAACAUGUGUGAACAGAGUCUGCUGAAGACACUGGAUUCCAGUGAACUUUUCUCACAUACGUUAUGGUUAUGAAAACCCUCUUUAGCAAGGGGGACAUGGUUAGCAAAGAAGGAAAUAAACCAAGAAGAGUUCAACCAAGAGCUAAGGAGACAGAGAGCUUGGGAGGAGAAGGUUUGGAUCCGGGAGAGAGAUGGGCACAGGGCAGAGCUGUCAUAGCAUUCUGAAGAUGGUGGGUAGUACAGAAUACUUCUUGACUCUGAAAACACUGGAAGAAGUAGAUCAUGAUGGAUCUGUGGCAGCAGGAUGAACACUGGAACCGAAAGCACGGAGGAGCUCCAAGACACUGAACUGUGGAUACAAGCCCCAAAGCUAAAACCUCAAAGGCAAAAAUAAACCAAUGGAAUACAUGAAACUCAAGAGCUCCCGUAUAGCCAAGGGAACUGUCAAGCAAGCAAAGAGAUAACCUGGAAGAUGGGGGCGGGGGGGAAGGGGGGACUGUGUUUGUAAAGCAAGUAUCAGAAAUGUGCUAAAAAUGGAAGGCACAGCAAUGGGAGCUAGUGAGACAUCUGAGAGACGUGCUCACCAAUGAGGAAGGCAAACACCUUGGCUGUUGGUUAUGUACUACCUGAAAGAAUUAGUCCCCUGAAGCAAAUUUCCAUUGCAGUUUUCUAAGUUUUCAAGUCAACGCCCUAUGGCAGCAACAUUUCUGGGCAAUCAUUCUUAACACAGAUUCAAUAGACUCAAGAACUGCAGUUUCUGGACAAGGUCACCUCCUCCCAACAUCUGUCCUUCUCCCCCUUACCAUGGCCAGGCAAAAAGAACAAGGACUCUUGGCUCUGUCCUUUAUGCCUAGAAUUCUCCACUGUUGCCCCAAAGCCUCUCAAUUCCCCUUCCCUCCUACUAGGUCAUUCUUACCCUACUACCCACCCCCGCCUCUGCCAGCCAGUAGCUUUGUCUCCACCUAAAACCUCCGGGUGCUUCCUUGACUUCUACUGUGUAGCCAGAACGCCCAACCCCCAAUGCCUAUUACAAAUACACAUGGUGGUUUAAACGUCUGUCAACCCCGGAGUAAUGUGAUGUAUCAACCCUUAAACAUCAUUAUUAUUGUUGUUGUUGUUGUUGUUGUUGUUGUUGUGGAUGCAGUGGUUGUUAUUAUUUUUACUCUAAUGUCGAGUUUGCCAUAUGUUGGCAAUGAUCAUUUUCAGAUAAUUGCUGUAGUAAACUGAAUAUUGAAAAGACUAAGGUGAAAUUUUCUUUUUUCCAUUUUAACUUUCAUAUUCAGAUGUUGGAUAUUUGGGGCCAAGAUUUCUGUUUUCAUCCUCAUUAUCCCCACCCCCUUUAGCAUUUUAAUAGUUAAAAUAUCAUAUAAGCAAACCUAGAGAAAAUGUUCAUAGCAAUAAAUAAGUAUUCGCUUAAUAUUUAUAGUGAAAAACUAUCUGUAUUCUAAAAAUAUUUUGUUUGUAUGCAGUAUCAUUGAAGUAAGAUAGAUGUAUUUCUCUGUCGUUAGCAACUUUAAUAGGGAGAAACACCAUUAUUUUCUUUGUCUUUCCUACUAUCACUGUUAAAGUUAUACCAUGCCAGGUAAUUUCUCUACUACGUCUUUUCAAUGUACUAAAUAAUUGAAUGUUCCCAAUAACCCCAAGAGCUCAAGUUUCCAUCAUUAUUUCAUAGAUGAGGAAGUAGAGAAUACGGACAAGUUGAAAGACUGUUGGAGUCAGACAAUGAGGAAGCAAUAGGCCUGAAGGCAAAGCUUAGCCCUGGGUUAAGCAUCACACACUCUGCCCCCAACCCUACCGCAUGGUUCUCCUGAAGUCCAGAAGAAUGGUUUGUGAAGGGUGGAAACUGUGUACCCAGAACAUUGGACUUGAAACCUGCAGAUAGUUUAACCAGUAUAGUAUGAGUGUUUGCAAGUUUGAAGUAUCACAUGAAUAUCUUGGGAGUAGAAAUGUUUUCAAAGGCUGGAGACCAAGCUCAGAGUUACUUGCUAUACAAGGACUUGAGUUGAGACUCUAGCACCCAUAUUGAAGGUUGGAAGUGGGGAUGCAUGGUGUAGCAAAAGUGCCUGUAAGGAUGUGGGGAGGCAGAAGGACUCAGGGCUCUCUGGCCAUCACGCUAGCUUCAGGGUCAGUGAGAGGUUCUGUCUUAAGGGAAUAAAGUAAUGAUAGAGUACCUUCUCCCUUGGCCUCCAUAAGUAUACACAUCAGCACACUAGCAUGUGCCUGUGGGUGCUUGGGCACACAUGCAUUACCCAUGUGUAUACCACACUGACAUACACACUACAAUGCCCACUUUAAGAUCUGAUCUACUUCAAUUUCUCCUGAUUUUUACCUUCUCCGGGACCUCUCAGACACAGCAAACACUUGCUCACGCUCGUCAAAUUAAACAGGCUUAGGGCAUGUUGCAUUUGAAAUGGCUCCAGGGUAUCUUCCAUGGUUAUUUCAUGCUAUUCACACUUUCAAAAUUCUUAUUACAGAGGGAGAGCAAACCAAGUAGAUAAAAUCCAUUGUGAUCUCCAAAGACAGCAAACAGGCCAGUCAGACUAGCUGAAGAAAUGCAGAGAACUCAAUUACCCAGCUUCAGAGAGAGUGAAAAGCUAAACAGGGGCUGUAGCCAGACGAUGUACUUUCUCAAAAGCAUUAAAACUCCCCAAUCAAGCCCCUUAGCUUGGCCUACAUCAAUUACCAUGUUCCAUGCCCCCAGAUCCUGGUUAGAAAGAGCAUGAAACACAUAUUGGUUUCAGAUUGAUGAAAACAGUGUGUGUUGGGGGUGGGGGGGCUGUGCACUUUAAAAUCAAAUACAAAUGCCUCAUUCUAUAAAUAAAAAUACUUUCAAAACUUAUGCAAGAGAACACAACUUUGAAAAUAAGGACCCAAGUGUCCAGUUUGGUCCUCUACUGAUAGUGUUUUGAGGUUAUUAAAAUAUAAUAAAUAUAUAGGGUUUCCUGUACGGUUCACUCCUGGCAUUAACACCAGCAGCUUCCUUUUGCUGAACAAUGACAGACUGGCUGACCAACCUAUUUAUAGCUCAUCUUCUAAUAAAAAUAAAGGAUGUUAAUAUUAUUUUUUUUUAAUCAUACAUGAGGUCUAGCCAGAUGGCUUAUCAGAUAAAAGCUCUUGGCACUGCACAGUGCAAGCCUGAAGAACUGCGUUAGAUUCCAAGAAACCCCAGUAAAGGUGGAAGGAGAGAAGUGAUUCCCAAAUCACCUUUGAACUUCCACAUACUGGGGCAAAUGCACACCCAUACAAAUGCACACCCAUACUGGGGCAAAUGCAUACCCAUACAAAAACAACAUUCACGCAUACACAUGUGCACACACAAAGAUACACACACACUCUUCUGGAUCUAAUUUUUAAAAGAUUUUUAUUUAUUAUUAUGUGUAAGUACACUUUAGCUGUCUUCAGACACACCAGAAGUGGGCAUCAGAUAUCAUUAUGGAUAGUUAUGAGCCAUCAUGUGGUUGCUGGGAAUUGAACUCAGGACCUUCAGAAGAGCAGUCAGUUCUCUUAACUGCUGAGUCAUCUCUCCAGCCCAAGGAUCUAAUUUUAAAAUCAUACAUGAGUUUAACUGCCUUCAAUGCUCAUCUAUCCCAAUGCAUCAAAUUACUGUACACUUAGGUGUCAAGGCAACACAGGAUUUAUUAGCAUACUGCCAUUUGGGAUGAUCACACACACACACACACACACACACACGCACACACACUAGGUCAAAAACAUCACUGCAGAGCAUCACACACCCAAGCCUCUCCAUGAACAAAAAAGGGCAAUAGCAGUCCAUACGCAGUAGGGAGCAAAAUCAAAACAGACAAAGCACAUGCCAUAUUCAAGAGCAUCUAGCAUCCAACCCUGAAUAAAACUUCUCAAGUCUCAAGACAUCAGCCCUUGACAAUACUGCUAAGUACCCUUGGAGAGAAUUGAAAGCAAAGCCCCCAAAAGAAAACCCACUUCAAGUUUUAAUAUGUCAAGUUCUGCCUUUUAUAUGCUCACUGAAAUAACUGAUAGCCUUAUCAUCAAAUAAAUUAGCAAUUUAGAUUUCUAUUUCUCUAUUUCUCAAAUGCACCCCAGUGAUUUAGAGUCCCUUAAAGUAAAGGGAAAAAUCUCACAGCAGAUAAUUCAUUAGAAGAAAAAAAGAAAACAACAAUGAGCUAUAGUAAGAAAUAAAUAUGAAAAAUUAACCAGGUACUGUGAGCCAUAUUUGUAAUCCCAGCUCUCUGGAGGCUGAGGCAGGAGUAUGGCUGAGACUUUGAGGCCAGGAGCUAUAGAAUGGUUUCUUAGCCCCAGCAUGGGCUAUGCAGUGAUGGGUUGAGUUACAUUUUGAGUUCUUGUUUGUGUGUGUGUGUGUGUGUGUGGGUGUGUGUGUGUGUGUGUGUGAGAGAGAGAGAGAGAGAGAGAGAGAGAGAGAGAGAGAAACCAAGGCAGCCAUGGUUGCCUUGGCUCUGAGUAUCUGACAAUGUUACCCAAUGUACAUUCAUGCUUCUCUUCAAGAUAGGGCAGAAAGCAGCCAAGCUCCUACACCAUGUCUUAUUUUUCUGCCAUUAUACACAUGAAACACACAUCGUUCACUGAGUGAAGAGCCAACUGUAGGUACAGUCAACACCCUUUAACCUACUUUCUGUGAUGUUUUUCAGGGCACUCUGCCUUGGGGCUAGUCUGAGCCACCCGGCAGCCAAAAAAUCUCAGUGGCUCAGACCAGCAAAGGUCAAGGUGUGUUCCUAUAUUCCCUUUGGUUACAGGAAAGGACAGGUACACACUGGUGGGAACUGGGGUGUUCAAUCAGCAUCAUUUCCGCCUAAGCCUGAGUUGCUCUAGAGACCAUGUGGUUACUAAGCAAUGGCUAUCAGUCUUGGAGCUCUAGGAAACAGACAUGCAAGGUGAGUUAGGAAGGACUCAGAGCAGGUAUGAAGGAUGCUAACCCAAACCAAACAGUACUGGAUGUGUACAGGUGGGCAACCAAUGCAGAUGGGAGAAAAAUCAUGAAGAGCCCAACUUAGGGUGCAGGUGCCAACACUCCAACCUAUACCCCAAAUAACCUGGGGGUACAGGGGAGAAUGAGCGUGUCUGAGACAGAGGUUACACCUGCAGACAUAGGAGCUCUUUGUGUUCAACAGAGUUCUUCCACACUCAAGGCAGCAUGAUUUACAGGGGCUAUACCCAAAGACACCUACUUAAAAGGGGAAGGAAGCUAGAAGCCAACAGCUCCUGAUCAUGGACAACUUUGUGAGGAUAUGGAUGUAUGGAAAGUGGAGGGUGAGAGAGAGUCAGGGAGGGACAGAAGAGGAAGGAGGAGAGGGAUAUGGUAAGCAUGGUAAAAGAAGACAGACACCCCAUGAUCUGAAAAGAAAACCAAGGAUUCCAGCAGGAAUCCAUACAUAAAUGCAACCCAAAUUCCACUGAGCUGGCCGCCAUUCUUUCUUAAGCAUCUGUUAGAUUUGGUGCUGAGUGGUUGUGAGAGGUUCAUAAGCCCUGUCUUUUACUGCUCACUGAUCAUUCUCCUUACAGUGGAGACUAAUAACACUGCAUAUGGUGCCUAAUGAAUUAAGAAUUGAACUUCCACCGCCCAAGCUGUGAAAUCAUGCAAUAGGUUUUGUGUGUGUUAGAACUCCGCUGAACACAAAGAAGCUCCUGGCACAGAGAAGAGAUGUGAAAUUUCCCUAUUUCUCAGGCAUUGGUCUAUGAACAGGCUUAGAAAAAUAAUGUGUGAAAAUGAAAAUUGUGGUACCAAUGAUGCUGUCAAGCUAACAUAAUGUUUUUUUCAAAACCUACAACAAACCCCAGCUCACCUAAAAUCCACUGGGCUGAAACACCGCAUUUUACCAUAAUUGGCUCUGGCUUUGAUCCUACAUGUGAAAGUAGAAUGGAAAAAUAUUUAGAAUCCAUGUCUGUCUUCCUCAGGCUGGAGGAGGGUGAAAUUCACUUCAGUGGAAGAAGAAGUCUGCACCCUUGCAGCUCCCUGCUGAGGCCUGGGAAAGGAGGCGAAGGAAAGAGCUGGGGAAUAUCAAUAUCGAGUCUUCAUGUGAGCCAGGGAGGCCGGAGCUGGGUCUCAGCACUGGGCCAGAGAAAGCCAGACUGUGAUGGGGAGCCAAGAACACAGACUUUAUACGUUGCAGAGAGAGAGAGAGAGAGAGAGAGAGAGAGAGAGAGAGAGAGAGAGAGAGAGAGAGAGAGACUGACUAUGGCACCUUUCUAAAAACAUGCUCUAACACUAGAUUGCAGGCCAUUGUGUUUCUGAACUUCUGAACCUGUCACUUUCCCUUAUUAUCAUAAAGUUUACUCAACACAGCCUUAAUAAAUAAAAAAGAAGAGGAAGAGGAGGAGGAGGAGGAGGAGGAGGAAGCAGAAAGAAAAGGUAAGAGAAUUAUAACAAAGCUAUGUUCCUGCUGUGUUGGCAGUUAGGUGCAAUGUGCAAGCCAGUCAGUCAGGUUAAGGGAAAAGUAGGCCAGGUCUAGCUGCCUGCAACCUUCAAACCAUUCCUCACUUGCGUGUCUCCCAAAGAAACUUACUGUGCAUGGAAGGUAGCUCAGGCGUGUGUUCCUAGCAUGUACUAGGUCCUGAGUUCUAUCUCCAGCCCCAGACAAACCUGGGUAUGGUGACACACACCUGUAAUACCGGUAGGCAAGCAAGAGGGUGUGGAUUCCAAGGUUCUCCUUGAUUAUAGCAAGCUGAAGGCCGGCCUUAGCUAUGUGAGACUCUGUCUCCAAAACAAGCGGAGAGGGAUGAAGGGGAAGAAGAGAAAGAUGGGAAGAGAAGGGGAAGACAGGAAGGGGAAGGGGAUAGAAGAAAAGUAAAGAGGGAAGGGAAGAUGAGGGGAGAGGAGCAGAGGAGAGGGGAAGGGGAGGGGAGAUAAGUAGGAAGAGAAGGGGAGGGAAGGGAAAGGAAGGGAAGGAGGGAGGGAAGGAAGGAAGGGGAGGAGAAGAGAGGAGGAGGGGAGAGAAGAAAAGAAAAGCCGUCCAAGGAAAAAGUUCAGUGGAUGGUGAUGCCUGGCACAGAGUAAAUCAGAGGCACAGUGGCAGGAGGAUUACAAGUCCAGCAGUACAUAAAAGGGUAUAAAGGAACGUCCCUAAUGUUCAUAUCUUUUAAAGAAUCCAUAGGGAACUUCGCACACAUAGAAACAGAGUACAAGGUUAUAUGCAACAAGAGAUAUAUGCAAAGAAGUCCUGAAUCCCAUGAAAUAAAAGAAGGAACUCCACUCAUUGGAGCAGCAGUUCACACUGAGUUGCUUCUUUUUACAGACCAUGAAUCACAUCAAGGGUCUCAGACCUCUUCCUGCCAAACCUCUCAAGGGUGCUUUGGGUGAGUGAUGUCAUGAUGUACAUCCUACAAACCAGGGGGCUGAGCAUCUUGUCCCAUUCACACAGCAACGAGAGUGGAGAGGGGUUCCAUGAUAGACUCAUGGUUCUAGAUCCUGGUUUUUAAUGACUUCAGCAAGAACCAGGAUUUACAGGAACCUUAUAAACACCAGGAAAAGAGGAUGUCAUUAAGCUUUUUCCAAUUUUCCCCAACAAAGUGACCAGCCAGUUACUAAACAGUCUUCAAUAGAAUUCAUUGAAUCAAAUUCCCAUGAUGUUUGGACUCUGGGUAAGAAGAUGAGCAGAUGCCCUGGGCUCUCAGUUUCUUCGUCUGUAAUUGUCAACGCCCCAUGUGCUACCUUGGAAUCAGUCAUAUAAUGCAUUACUGCAGAAACUGAGAAUACCCCCCAAACCCUAGCCAUUUCUUUCUGUCCAGAACCAAUUGGUGACCAAUUGAGUAAAUGUUUUGGGGCUAGUUCAAAGGAAGCUGUAAAGAUUACACUAUAGUGAAUCUACUGUGCUGUACAUCUGUACUGUAUCUACCAGGCUGGUUCAAAGGAAGCCAAAUAAAGAUUACAAUACUGUGAAUGUACCUUACUGUACAUCAGCACCACAGCUACCAAGACCACAUGCCCAUUCACACCUUGACUUUGUAUUACAGCGUUAAGAUGGUGAUCACUUAAAAAAAAAGAAGAAAGAAAGAAAUGGAAAGGUCCUGUCUUUCUAAGUAUAGAUUUUAAUCAGCAAAAAUGAAGACUAUACAAUCUUUCAUAGGAAAUAAACUGUACUUAAUUUGAGGGGUUGGUUUUGAGUUGUCAGGUCCUAGGGCUCGCUACUCAGAACGAAAGUGCCUUCGGAAUCACCACAGUUGUCUGAGAUGAUGGCCGUCCUGUUUCCAACACAAAAGGUAGCUUCUUAUCCCUGGAUUCAUUGCAGAAUCAGGGCAGAGCCCCGGCAGCUGAGUGUACUGCUGCUGAAGGACAGACAGCAUGCUGCAUUCUUUAUUCUAGGAAGUGUCUCCUGGGAGGGCACCCCCUGCCUCUACAACAGAAACACUUCCCUCGGCGGGUGGGCGGGGCUGGAAAGGAGUUAACGUCUUACACUCAGAACCCAAUCUCAUUAUCUCUAAAUUUAUCUCUGUUUGGUUGACGUUUCUGGACAUUUUUUUUCUGAGUCUCUAAAGGGAUGAAGAAGCUGUGCCUACAGUUUUAGAUCUUGUCACCAGCGGUUAAAACAGCACCCGGCAGAGAAAUCUGUAAUCCAUCAAAUAUUUAUUUACAUUUUUUUUCUUAAAGAUUGGUAAUGACAAAGCCCACAGGCAGAGCUCAUAGAAAAUUAAAAUACAUUUCAAGUUACCAAUUUUUUUUGAAAAAUAAGAGAUAUUUUUAAUAAGGAUUUAAAAGCAAGUUUCUGAUAUUUCUUCCUACUAAUGGUUUCUUGUGAAGUGAUUCACUGUCCAUCAUGAUAGUCAAUUUGGUGUAUGUGUGUGUGUGUCUAUGUGUAGCAUAUAUGAUAUGUGUGUGCAUGUGUGUGUGUGUUUUUUUUUUUUUAAAUUUGCUCAUUGUCUCCUACACUGUUGGGUCAGCAAAGUACAGCCCUUGAACUUCUGACCUUUUGUGGUUCAAAAGACAGUAAGACAAAGAAAAGGAAAAACUCAAAAUGUUUUAUUCUAAGGGCAUGGUUCCUUUGGCAGUGUGCUGCCCUGGCAUGGACAAGGUUUGAUGACCAGUACUGUGAAAACUAAGCGUGGUGCUUUGUGGUUGCAAUCCUUGCACUUGCGAGACAGAAGCAGGAGCAUUAGAAGGCAAAGGACAUUUUUCAGCUAUAUAGUAAGGUCAGGCCAGCGUAGGACACCAGAGAUCCUGCCUCAACUUGUAACAAUUUGUCUUCUGCUUCGAACUAUCAUGUAAACAUGUAAACUAUACAUGUUUACAGCCCAUGUAUCUUAUCAAGGUGGACAGGACCAGUCCCAAUGGGGAAGAAGCUAGAGGUCUCCUUUAAGGGCUGCGUAUAGAUCCAGUCUACCCUCUUCCAGCCUGGGCCAUUACACAAGCCCUCCAGUUUCUCAGUGGUGCCAGAGGCACUAGGUGUGAAACAGGGAUGCUGUCAGUCAGCAGGGAAAUUUUCUGCCUCUGAAAAUGUCUCUGCGCUUCCUCUGUACAGCACCUCCAGCUGCCUCUGCGCACCCGCCGUGUCAGGAUUAAAAUAGCUCAGCCUUGAUGACUUCACUAGUUCUCACAAACGGGCCAGUUGGCAGAAGGCAAGCACUGCCUGCUCCUGUGGGGAGGGUUUCUUCUUUUUUAUUUGUUCCUUUCCUUCUACCCCCUAAUAUGAAUACUUGGUUUCAUUUUGACUCUGAAAGACAUUUCCUUUCUGAGGUUCAAUUCAGCACGGAACUUCAUGCAGAUUUCUCCAAAUGCCUUUAAAAGGCUCAAGCUAAAAAGAGGUCACUGGAAGCCAACACUGACUGUAUUAUAAUUUCUGAGGUGAAACUUCAAGGACAUUAAAACUACUGGGUAAGCUAACCUUACAUAACCCAAUAGUGUUUCGUGUAUUAAGGAGCAAAUACCUCCCCCCAAAUCUCAGUGAUACUUGAUGAUCAGCCACAAUUUUGAACAUCUCAUUUCGUGUGUUUAUUCUGGCUACAAGUGAAGAUGCCAACACAGAGCACCAAGGUAAAACACGACCAGUACUAACCACAGUGAGAUGAGAGAGCGCUGUGGAAGAUGAUUUUCCCUCAUCAGAGCUAGCUCAGAGAAACUGUGAAAUUCAAGAGAAAAUGGACAUAAAGCAUUCAUGCCACAAAACAGUAUAUUUCUCAACCAAAUACCCAAAUCUUAUGUGAGCGUUUUGAGUUUUCCCUUGGAGUUUUUCACUUCCUCCUAUAAUUUACCAUGCAUUAGGAAGAUGCUUUUUCUUCUAUGAAAAAGAAGGUUUUUCUUCUGUUCCAGAAUCAUAACUCAGUGCUGCACUUUGAGUCCAAGAGCGCAUUUAGAUUAACUGCUCCAGUGCCCGAUGGACAUGAGAUUUAUACUCAGAAAAGACUCCCAUAUGACUCUGGGGAUACGGAGCUAAUGAAAUAAUGUGGCUCACUGGCUAAAGACGGCUGCGCUGAAAGGUACAACCACUGCCCCUAAGAGUGGAAGAAAGGCACUGACCCUGUCCUCCAGCCCACCCACCUCCAUCCCUCUCCACUCUUCUGGGUGCCUUAGCAUCUACAGUGGUAUCCUCUUAAAACCACUCCCCCCCCCCCCCGACCUAUACAUCGCAGAGAACUUUCCAGUGAACAGGAAAGCAUCUACAUGAUAGAAAAAAUUUUAAAAUGUCCUACAAUGGUGUGUUCAUUGCACAAGCACCUGCUGACUAUCUCAUGUGCAGCAAAAAUGAUGAUGGCUGUCUCCAAGGGCAAAAUAGAUAUGAAAAUGGUCUUUAAGAGCUGCAAAGAGAUGGCCCCGUCAGUAAAGUACAGCCUGUGUUUAAUGGCAAGAACUCAUAUAUUAAAAAAAAUCCCAGGCAUAGAUCCUCAACACUGGAAGGAGGAGAGGGGCUUACUGGCCAGUCAGCCAAGCCUACUCAGUGAGCCACAGGCCAAUAAGAGAACCUGUCUCAAGAAAUAAGAGAAAUGGCUCCUAUUGUCACCUGAGGUUCACCUCUGGCCUUCACAUACACAUAUGUGCAUAUACAAGUGCACCCAGGUACAAAGAAAUUCACUCAGUCCUCUCUUUAGAUAAAUAUUGUACAGCUACAUGGAUUUAACACUGUGACAGAUACCAUCAUAGUAUGUGUGUAAGCCCAAGGCAGGUCUUCUUCUCUGUCCUCUACAUUUCAUUUACAAAAGCUCUCUCCCUGAGCCUAGAGCUAGCCAUCUGGCUACACCACUGUCCGUCAAGCUCUGGAGACUUGUGUCCUUGCCAUCUUAGGGUUACAAAUGCAGUCCACCACACCCAUCUCUUUCUGCUGAUGCCGUAGAUCACAACUACAGAGAACAUGGUUGCUUGGCAGGCAUUCUACUGAAUGUGCGGUUCCCAGCCCUUGAAAUCUUUUUAUAUUAAUCUAUUGUGAUGCUCGGUUUGCAAUAUUCUUUAUUCUAGAUUUAGAAUCGCCCUGGAAACGAGUUUCUGGGUGUGUCUCUGAGAGUUUCCAGACUGAGCAAGGAAGCCCCACCCUGAGAGUGGGUGGCACCAUUCAGUGGGCUGGGUUUUCAGAGUGAAGAGAAAGCACGCUGAACACCAGCAAUCAUUUCCUGCUGCUGCCUGACUUUGGAUCCUCUCUGACCAAUCCUCAUCUAUCCCCACCUCCAUGCCUUGCCUGCUACGCUGGGCUGUAUCCCUUCUUAAAAUAUAAACCGGUACCCUUCUUUCUACAGGGUGCUUCUUGUAAGGAAUUUGGUCAAAGCAAAGAGAAGAGCAACCAGUUCACGGAUGAAAAUCAUCAGGAAGCCUUUGCUACGGUUUGGGGAAAACCUCGUGAGAUUCAGAGUAAUCCUGAAGAUGAGGUAAGAGCUCCAGAGGCCAACAAAGACAUGUGGUGAAUGUGAACCCUGAAAAUCAAUCAAAAAAUAAAGUCAUUCACACAGUGACUGAACAAAAUGAACCAUCAGUGAUGGUAUCUUCAAUAAACAUCAAAUUUUAGAGCCAUAAAGGACCCUCUGUGAACUUAAAACUCUCACCUUUUACUAAUAAAACCUAGAACAGUUGAGUGGUUCCUGCCCAAUGACAAAGCCACAUAGGUAUUAAGUUACCAUCUCAGACCCAACAUUAAGCAUUAUUUAUCUUGUCUUCCCCCUACAAUUGUAUCCUAAGACAGAUGCACACAUACAUAUAAGUAUACUAUUCUGCAUCUGACUUAUAUUCUAACACACUUAUACAGGCAUACGUAUGAUACUUUCUGCAUAACUCAGACACAGCCAAUAUUACAUUAAUGUCUGUUUCAUAUAUGUGCAAUUCACCAUCCCACCCCAACAUAUUAUAUACAUCCACUAUUAUGUUAGUGUCUGUUUCAUAUAUGUGUAAUUUACCAUCUCACCCCCACAUACUACACUUACCUAAUAUUGCAUUAGUGGUGAAAUCAUAUGCACAUCCAACUGCUCUACACAACUACAACUCACACACAUGUGCCAUAUUAUUUUGUACCUGAUUUCUCCAUCUAUAAGUGUUUCUCAUUUAUAUGCACACUUCUAUUGACAUGGGCACACAUAAAAAAGCUUUCUAUCUGCUUGUAAAGUAAGAAAUGCAAGAGCUAACAAAUAAUCCACAGAACUAUAUGAGAAUUGAAGCCAGGUAAUUCACCUGGACUUAUUUACAUGCAUGGCCUCCCAGAGACUUGAGUGUGAAUCCAAUGAUGAAUGUGGACACUUGAUAAGAUGGGAAUGAGAACACGGGUAUCCAAGGGCAACGGCUCCCAGUUCUUAGUUCAUGCUGAGGAGAACAGUGGUGCAUCUAUUAUACAGUUCCCAUACUGUGGGACAGGUAAUGGAUAAACACAGAAACCGUGCUUGGAUUCCAGGUCCUCAUCCUAAGAUAAUUCCCAGUUUCUGAGCCCAUGUGUUACAGGAUGUGAAUGAUCAACACAGUUUGGGAUUCUGGCUACAGAGUAUUAGCUGAAGGAUAUUUUCCCACCUAUACCAGAGUGGACAAUCCAGGAGCUCUGGAUGACCUCUUUUGACAUAUAAAACUGGGAUUCUCACAGCACUUCCAGGAGCAGGGGUAAGAGAGUCUGGGGAUUGAUUCCUUGAGGGACUGUGUAUGAGAAUUUCAGAGAAAAAUACCAAUGAAACUCCUCAUGACAACCAGCUAAUAAAGUAUGUUACAAGUACCUAAGAUGUCCCUAACAAUGACACAGAAGUACUCAGGGAGACCUAGAUGGGGGCUGUCGGCCCUGCAGGAGGGUGGAGGGGCAUAAGUAGAAAUUACAGUAUGUGUUCAGUAAGGCCUGCUGUCCCUUAGAGAAGACUAAAUGUAAAUACAAAAGAGAGAGAGAGAUUCAAAACUCAAUGGCUGAGCUCACACACAGUAUAAACUUUCAGAGUCUCCCGAACCACAUAGGGGUUACUAUGACCCUUUGCUUUCUUCUUUAAGCUAUAUGUACUAUGAGAUUAGCCUAUUUUUACUUAACCAUAAAUAAUUCCCUUUUAUCAGUAAGUAUAAGUAUUACCAAGUCAUACGUGCAUUAUAUGAAAAGGUCUUCUCCGUAGCCAAACCAUGAGGUAUCACUUUUAUGAUCCUCUGGGUAAUAUUCUCAUUGUUUCAAUGAGGAUAUAUAAGCACAAGAAUAAUGAGAUGUACCAUACUGAGUUUGCACAUCUGUGUCUCUUAGGUAAAAUUCACUGACAGUUACUUCCUGGGAAAGAGGGCUUUGACUUGGAAGGUGCUAAUCUCUCCAGCCUUGGAGGGCUGCUAUAAAGGUCACAAGUCAACUCUUUAAAAUGAGACCUGAUUUUUCAAAGAGAAAUAUAUGGCUCUAAGAAAAUAAACCUCGGGUACUUUGAAGUCCAUUUUAAAGAGAUUAUUCACUGCCUAAGAUAAGGAUCAAAAGGAGCAGGCUCCGGGCAGAUACUUAGGGGACAGACUAGGGAAGGCUGCAAACAGAAAACUGCUGUUCAAAAACUGCAAUUCUAAUAUAGCAUGGUGCGGCACACUUGAGAGAUGGAAGCAGGAAGACUAUGAACUCAAGGCUAUCUUUGGCCAUAUAACAACUAGCCUGAGGUAUAUCAGAUCCUAUUUUAUCAACAGCAUUAAGAAAAUAAAAAGAGAGCUCUUCUGCCAAGGAAUACACACACUCACACUCACUCAUACACACAAACACAUUCACACACACAAAUAUACUUACACACUCCCACAAAAACACACUCCCACACACACUCCCACACACACUCCCACACACACUCAUAUACACACACACUCACACACAGACACACUCAUACACACACACACUCAUACACACACACACUCAUACACACACACACUCAUACACACACACAUAUACACUCACACACAAACACUCGCAUUCACACACACAAACACACUCACACAAACUUUCAAAGUUUAGUGGGUCAAAUACAAACUAAUAAUCGAGCCGGCUAAGAAAGAAUUUAAGUAACCUUGUGCAGCGCUCCAAAGUUAAUUAAAAAACAAAAACAAAAAUGGUGCUUCGCUAAAUAAAGGCCAAAGAAAAUAUUUUUUUUUUUUGCAAAAUGGAAGAGUAUGCAUAUAAAAUGAUUUUCUUGAUCUGUAUUAAGACAAGUAUUGUAAAUAUGAAACAAGUUACAGAAAUUCAGUGAUUAAGAAUGAGUCUGAAUCUAAUUAUUAAACCAGAUAUAUCUCUAGCAAACAAACAAACAAAACCCAAACAAACAACACAGCUAACUUGUAUUGUCAGAGUUAAGGACUCAUGGUAGAGUCAACUGACAAUUUGGCACAUAUAAAAGGUGCAAUGCCUCCUACAAAAAGCAAAGCAACUCGUGAGUGUCUGUCCAUUCAAUUCUGAAAGCAAUGGUACUAAUAGGAUAACUGAGCACGCGCACUGUCUGAUGGUUGACAGACUGUCCACUGCCUAAUGCAUUUACAAUAUGCUGUAGUUGGGUGAGGAGUGACCCCCACCCCAUGGCCAUGUUGAAGAGUGUGGCUGGACAGCUUCUGGGGCUCCAGGGAAGAGAUGGAACCUUUAAGAAGUGUGGCCUAACAAAGGGAAGUAGGGACACUAGGCUAAGCCUUGAAGGGUUGAUUUUUGAUCUAGCCCCUUCCUCUUGUUUGCUUUCCUCUCCCAUGAGGUAAAUAAACUCCUACAGAUCUCCGCCAUGUGCUCUCUCGUUCACACCUGUAGGAUCAAGUCCUCAGGGACUAAACCUUCUUAAACCAUGAUCCCGAAUAAAGCUUCAUCCUCACAACUUCACCACCUGAGGUGUCAGGUCAUAAUAACAAAAUGCCAACUAAUGCACUGCAGACUAAAACCAAAGAGAAGCUCUUAAAAGAAAAAAAAAUCACACUUUGCUAUGGUUCCAGUAUGAGAUAAAUGACAGGGAAUCAGCUUUCUAAGCUCCAAGAUGUCUGAGAAACAGGUGCUGAAGACCUUUAUGAAUGAUCUUCAGAACGAAUGCACAGGAAGAUGGGGAGGUCUGUACUGAGCUCUCUGGUUAUCAUAAUACCAAGUCGCUGAGAUUCACACCCUUCUUAGCAUCAGUCUAAGAAAUGUGGUGGGAUCUCCACAGGCAGGCUGCAUUCACUGAGCCAAAUGUCUACCUGAACCAAUGAUCUCCAAGCCUUUGUGUAUCCUCCUAACUGAUGCACCUGGAGUGCUUCCAAACAGGUGGCUCCUUUGAGCAGACUGAAGUCCUUUGCUCCCAUCAGUAGAGGCAUACCGUAAUUAAAGUAGCUUUUAAAUCAUAAACCUGUUUAUUCGAUAAUACCAUAUUGUAAUGAUUGGUUUUAAUGGAAGGAUGACUAAAAACUGUGAAAUAAGAAUACAAAAAGUAGCAGAGUGUCCAUGAAAAGCAAGGUGAUUGCUGUGAAAAUGUUCCCAGAUGAACCUACUGCAAAAACAGUAUUUACCCUGCUAGUGAGUAAGGUAUGGAUAUUUGCAAAACAAUGGGAAAAAAGAAAUCACAAGUAGCCUCAAAUCUUUACUUCAUUUUGAAGAAACAAACGGAAGGACAACCCAGAAGGCGACUGGUUUUGUGAAGAAUGAUAAAACAUGGUCGAAUUGGCUUCUGUUACUGGGAUAAACACGGACCAAAAGAAACUUGGGAAGGAAAGGGUUCCUCUCAUCUUUCAGAAUUAUACUCCAUGGUUUAAGAAAGAGAAGGCAGGAGUUCAAAACGGGAACAUGGAGGCAGAAACUGAAAUGGAGGCCACAGAGGAAAAUCUGCUUUCUGGCUUUUUUAGUAUGGUUUCUUCCUUCCUUCCUUCCUUCCUUCCUUCCUUCCUUCCUUCCUUCCUUCCUUCCUUCCUUCCUUCCUUCCUUUCCUUCUUUAUUCCUUUCUUUCUUUUUUGAGACAGGGUUUCUCUGUAUAGCCCUGGCUGUCCUGGAACUCACUCUGUAGACGAGGCUGGCCUCGAACUCAGAAACCCACCUGCCUCUGCCUCCCAAGUGCUGGGAUUAAAGGCAUGCGCCACCAUUGCCAGGCCUUAGUCUGAUUUCUUAUCCAACCCAGAUCCUAGCGUACCUAGCAUGGCAGAUGCACUAUGACCAUGGCAUCAUGCCAAGACCUACAGAUACAAAAACAGCAAAUUAAUCUAUUCACCCUCCAACCCCAGUCAAUACUGUAAAUAAGAGACGGUACCAACCUUGGUAUGGAGGAUGUGGGGUGCCAUGACAGUAAUAGUGAUUUUAGUGAUUUGGGUGGAAACCCUAAAGAGAGAAUUUAUGUAAUUCUGAAAACUGUUCAGAAAAAAAAAGAAUGAUAUAACACCAGUAUUACAAAAUGUCUAAUCAACAGGGCUUGGUAACUGAGGGGAGAUAAAAGCAUAUGGAAUAAAAAUCUCAAACAGACCAUCAACAGGUUUAGGGAUUUUACAGAUGAGGAAACAAAGACAAAGAACAUAGCUGAGAACAUUAGUUUCAAAUGCUAUACAUUAUAUCCAGGAAGAAAUGGAUAACUAUCAGUUGCCUAUCUACAUUCAAGGCUCAAAAAAAAAUGAAGGUGACAAUUGAAGACAGGAAGUGAGCCUGGUGGCCCAAAUGGGCCUACUCAUGGAAGUAAAUAUAGAAAGAAGGGAGUGGGGCAUGGGGUGUAACUCUUUGAAACACCAGUGUUAGAGGCAAGAAAUGAAAGCCCACUCCCUCUAGGAUGUGAGGUGGAAAAGAAGCAAGCAGCUGUGGACAAGAGCUUCUAUGGAAAGUGUCAUCCGGACACUGUCAUGGUGGUCUCACUCAUCUGAUGUCUAUUUGGAGUGGCCCUUCUCCAAAUUUCUUACAGCAAGCCUAAGACAUUGAUGAUCACAAUUUCACUCUUUCUGCCUUAUGCACUAGAUGCAUGAGUGUUCUUCCCAAAUUCCUAGGUGUUCACAGGGAAAACCGAUGAGGGCCAUCUCAUUUGCAAUGGAACCAUGUAGCAUAGGAUUAGUGCCCUGGUAAAGGAGAGCCCACAGCAAGGGCUGUAGCCAAGUAGUACACCCCAGGCCAGGUCCUCAGUCAGUCCCAAGUAUCACAGAGACACAGUGUGAGUGAGAGCAAAAGCAAGAGGAGGAGACUGAUGGUUCCCCAGGUAGUGCUUCACUCACCUUCUGCCAGAUGAGGGGAUAGGGAGACUUUGACCAUCUGCACCAGGACCUGACCAUGCUGCUUCUGUGAGCUUAGAUUUCCAGCCAGAGAACUGUGAGCAUUAAAGUUCUUGUAGCACUAUGGGAAGGAGCAAGAGCAAGAAUGUGGGCAGGGCAGAUGGAAGGAGAGAGGGAGCAGUGGCACGAGGAUGGUGGGUGUGCCACCACGGGAAGGAAACUGAAGAGACAAGCAGUAAGUUAAGUCAAGUGAAAGCAAGGUCAGGAAGGUGGCCUCUGCCACCAGGAUCGUGCAGACACGCUCCCUAACACAAGAGACAACCCUAAACUCAGGAAGCUCUGGGUUCUGCUGCGCUCCCCCCCCCACUCCUCUGCCAUUUCACAGCAUUCUAAAGGAAGUACGUCCCCAGAUUUACUGAUGCAUCAGGAGCUAUCAGACACUGCAGAAAUAAUAAAAUCAUUACCUCAGAAAGACAGAAGGAAACUUAUGUCUCGGAGAAAAUGGAAUUUAUUGGGGGGGCGGUUCAGAGUGAUCGUCGUGGCUGCUGCUUGUCACCAGACACAAGGAUUAGCUUUACAAUAAAGGACUUCCACAAUGUCAAAUGAAAAGUCAUAUAUUAAACAAACUUAACAAAUAUUCUGUAAGCAAAAGAAAAGAAAAGAAAAGAAAAGAAAAGAAAAGAAAAGAAAAGAAGGAAGGAAAGAGGGAGGGAGGGAGGGAAAGAGAGAGAGAGAGAGAGAGAGAGAGAGAGAGAGAGAGAGAGAGAGAGAGAGAGAGAGAGAGAGAGAGAUCAGGUGUGGCAUCGAAGAAACACAGCAUGUAACAGUUUGGGAAGCCAUGAGCGACGUGUGAGCGUCCCCGAAGGUACUCACACUCAAGUGCUUGGGCUAGAGAGCAAAUGGGGGUUAAGAAAGCCAUGGCAAACUCUCCUAGAGCUGAGGAGAAAGGAGAGUAAGUAAAGUUUGUCUACUAGAGAAGGAAACAAACAGAGAAAAGGAAGGAGACAGAGUAAAGGAAGGCCCUUUAAAAUGUAUACCAUGCGCCAACAGCUGGCCUGGACCACACAAGACUCUAUCUCAAAACUAGAAACUAUCAGAGAGUAAGCAAACAGAAGUUCAGACAUUUUCAUCUGGAGGAAAAGGUGACAGAUCCUAAGCAAUGCUAUCAGGAACAGCCUCAGGCCCAGACAACCGGCCCUCUGCAGUAUGUGAGGAAAGGAGGGAGAUGCUUCCAGGCAAGGGGAGGGCAGAUUGACUGAGGAUUGAACUGGGGGGGUUCCUGGCUUCCAGACAGUUAUCUAAGGUGCUACACCAUUCGUCCCUGUGGGACGGAUCUGGUUGCUGCAAGAUGAUUCUGGAUGCUCACACAUGGCCCCUCCUGAGGCUUGACAGCAGGCCUGUAACAUUCCUUCAUCAAUGACUGAAAGAUGCAAGUGUCAGAUUAGCCUCACUGACAGCAUAGUUUAGGAGAUAAGCUUUACAUAAUAAGCUUAAGAGAGGCUGAAGUAAUGACUCAGGGAGCAAGAGCACUUCCUUUGCAAGUGUAAAGACCUGAGUUUGGAUCCCAGCAUCCACAUAAAAAGCUAGAUGUAGCCACAUCUGUUCUUAACUCCAGAGCUGUAGGAAACAAGGGACUUGGCUGGGACUUGAUGGCUGCCAGCCUAGAUGCAGUGACACAACCUACCUCAAAAGAAAAAAAACAGUGAAAUAGGAUCGAGCAGGCCACCUGACAUCCUCCUCAGGGCUUACACAUAUGCCACAUAUGUGCUUGUACCCAAAUCACAAACAUACUUACACAAAUAUACUACACAUACAUACAAUACAACAUACGGAAAUAAACAGCAGGAGACCAAGAGUCACUAGGAGCAAUUCAUACAGGUUAUCAAUCUUAAUUAUUCUUACACACAGACAUACAUACGCACACACACAGCAUGCAUAUAUACACAGUAGCAAAAAUAGGCAUCACCAAAUAGAACUAGAAAUAAAGCACACACCACUGCCUUUAUGGGGCUAAGAUGCUGAUGAUAACAUCACAUCUUACUGCGAUAAAGAUUACAAUUGCUAAUCCUGGCAAGGUGGGUUCCCCCACCUAAAAAUGGCACAGGGGUUGUCAGUCUAAAGCAUGCCAAAUCAUAAGUGGACUCCUAGAUGUAAUGUGGCCAUUACCUCGGGAGCAUGUCACUAAACCCGAGGAAAAUAUUAGUAAGAGAAAAGGAUUUAAUCAUACUUCUACAUGGCUACCAGGUGACAGUGUCAGCAACAGCCUCAGGCUGUAGUCUGUAAAGCUAAACUCUCUUACAGCUCAUAAAGUUUUAACAAGCGAAGAAACAAUGAACUGAAAGAGAUGCGACAACAAAUGGUUAAAAAAAAUUAAGAUCCAAGCCCCAUCCCGGCGCUACAAAACUGGCCACAGCGCAAUGCUGCACUGUGAUUGCUAUUAUGUUAAAUUGAUGCUGAGGGGAAAGAAUGAGCAACUGUCUGAAUAUUGACAGAAAAGCGUAAAACUCCAUGUAAUGAAUCAGCAGCAGCUCUGACAUUUUCCUUCCUCCUGGAACCAUCAGAUAUUCUGCCACAGGAACUUAGCACCCAAGGUGCAAUGCAGGGGAUAUGGUUAGAUUCCCAUGAUGACCUCGAGGCAACUCCCAUCUUUUCUUCACAGAAGAUACCUAAGUAGAAAUGCAAGUUUACCUGGAAGCAAAGCCAAUGAUUGCAAAGCUCUGCCACUCACCUUUACCCUAGAUUAUAUUCCGCUUUCUAAUGCUUCAAGUCAAUGGCUCUUAGCCUACCUGAUGCUGUAGCCAUUUAAUUAUAAUUCCUCAUGCUGUGGUGACCUCCGACCAUAAAAUUAUUCUGUUGAUGCUCCAUACCUGCAGUUUUGCUACUGUCUUGAAUCUCAGAGUAAAUAUCUGUUAUGCAGGAUAUCUGAUAUGCAACCCUUGCCAAACCACAGGUUGAGAUGCACUGAUCCAAGCACAUGUCUUCCUGAAUCUCUUUCUGUAUUUUUGACAGCUUCAGACAUACACAGAAUGCAUCGUAAUUCUAUCCAGCCCCUUGUUACCCUCUGGUAGCCUUCUCUGAAGCCCUUCUUCUUCCCACCUUGUCCCCCAGUGAUUACACCAUCAGGGACAAUGAUGUCUCCUCCCGUAUGAUCAAAGUCUUCAGAAUCACAUUCUGUUAUCUGUCACAGGAAGUCAGAGUGCCCAGUGUCAUGCAGGUCCCCACAGCUCUGUGUGUGUCAACUCUGAAUAGGAACAUUUCACAACACUGCUCCAUCUUCUGACUCUAAGAUUGUUCCGGUCCUUCCUCUGUGAUGUUCCCUGGGCCUUGGAAGGUGGCGAUGGGGUUGCUAUCUAUGUCCUGUUUAAGGGUCACAGCUUCUACCACCAAGUAGACACUGAGACAUGACAGCAUCGUUACUAUAAGGUGACCCUUCUCUAGUUUUCACCUCCGAUAUAAAGCCCAGGAAGACUGACGCCAGGAAUCUUACCAUGCCAGCCAGAAUACUGAAGAUAAUUCAUAUCUCCAUUUAUCAUUCAUUAGAAUAGAACUCAAAUCUCCUAAAUUACAGGAAAGGCAAGAAAGCACUUCUCGGAUAUUGGGCCAACACUUCAAGAAAGAACCAUUGUAUAAAAGAGGACACUAGUAGCCUGUGUUUUCAAGUUGUUACGUAGAUUCUUCGUCAUCCACUUAGCAGGUAUUAGAAAGUAUUUGGGAAGCUUGUUUGUGGAGCAUUAACUCAUUACACAGCCAUCACAGCACGUAGUAAAUGAAAACAAGUCUAAGCAAACAGGUAAACACAUUUACAUGUGACAGUGAAUUCAGUCUUAAAGUUCUGAUAGGCAAGUAGUCAUAGAUCUCUUUUUAAAAAGUCAUUUUUUUACAACUAUAUUAGUUGUGUGAAUAUUAGGAAGAGUUAUUUUUAUAACACAUUUUGCUAAUGGACUUAAAAGCAUGGUUGUUUCAAUUAUUUUUUUAAAAAAAUUGAGUUCGUCAUUCUUUGAUGGUCUCAUACAGGUAUAUACUAAUUUUUUGGUAGUUUUCAUGGGUAAUGUAGGCCUGCAUUACUUUCUCCUUCCUGCCACUGUUGGAGGUGUCCUUCCCAUCAGUGACCCUGCCAGUUUGAUGUCUUUUAUUUUUUUCACUCUCUGAGUUCAAUUAUGGCAGUCAGCAUGAGUUGGGGGCCAGGGAGAGUUAACUUCUUAACUACACCACUACAGGAAAUGUUUCAAUGAUUUUCAAAAAUCACUUUGUCCUGCUAUCAAUUCCCCUAAGUACAUGAAGCCUUUACAAUACAGAAUCUUCCAACUUAAAAAAGAGAGAGAGAGAGAGAGAGAGCUGGUACUCCCCAGCCAAAAGAAGACAUCUUAUUGAAUUGAUGGAUAUAUACACAGGAUCCCCAGCCCUCUGAGCAGUCACUGAGAUUCUCUUACUCCUAGCCUCAUUCAAGAAGACAGUUGGUAGCCUUGGAAGGCCUGCCGGUUGAAUGGCUGUACGAGGACUGGAAUCCUGUGCUGCUCUUCCUUGAGCAGAGUGACUGUCAUACUUGGAAGACUGACAUAAUGUCUACGGGUUGCUCACCAUUGUCCCAAUGAGAGUCAUAAUAAAACAGAAGGGGAUGUAACAGUGCAAACAAGGAAAUGUUAAUAACCCGGGCACUCUUGCAAUUAAUUUGUUAUCAAUUUAAAAUUAUUUCUCAGUAAGAGAAUUGGAAAUUUAUUUCACAGUUUUUAUUUCAAGACUACAGGAUAUGGUAUAAUUUCAUCCAGCUGUUAAAAAGCAAUCCAAAAUGGUUUUUUUUCUAAUUAAUUAAAUGGUUGUAGCAUUUGAGCAGAUCAACAAGGCUUUCUGCCCCUACCCCUCAGUGGCCACUUAGAACAGCAAAUUGAUCUAAAAGUUCUGUGCGUGGUCAAAGAUGUUAGCUGGGAGCUAAGAAAGAUGUGCAGCUAGAAAGCACAUAUCACAUACGCCAGGGGUUUGCACUUGCUCACAGAGAAAAAUCAUUUGGGGAAAGGUAAACACUGCCUCAACUGGUUAGUAGCAGACAUCCUUCCAGGCAGCCCAAAGGAAGGCUCACAGGGAAUUCUCAAGAACAAAGCAGAGACCUUUGGGUGGGGUGGGGUGGGGUGGGGGGCAAUGUAACUACAUGAAACUACAUAAUAAUACGCUAUCUCUAUGACUCUGUAGAUAUUUUCUUGAGAAAAACAUAAAUAAAUGGAAUGAUUUCAAACUAAACAGACAACCUCAACCUCUCAAGCUAUUCCAGCUAUCAAGCGGGGUGGGGUGGGGGCAAUGGGAAAGUUGGAGCUUGAGGGCAGCCUGGGCUACAUAAUGGCUUAAAGGGCAGUUGAUCUUAGCUACAGCAUUAGACUCUCUAAAAGUCAAGCAGAAUGGUAGCACAUACCUGUAAUACCACCAGCAGUUAGGACAAAGGAAAGAGGAUUGGGAUUAUCCUCAGCUACAAGGUGUUAUAGGCUAGCCCGAACCACCAGAAACCAUAUCUCAAAAAGAGAAAGACAACUCCAGGAUGACUACCAAUAUAUACUCAAGAGCCAACUUGGAACUGUGCCUAAUUUAGAAGGCUUGUUCCAGUAAACGCCAUAAAAGAACGCUCAGAUAUGACAUAUAACUGACUACCACAGCACACAUGGCCUCAGUUUACAUAAUGACUCAGAAACAAAUGGAAGCUCAUUAGAAGCCCGUGAGGUUGGGUGCAAUCCAAUCCGUGGCAGAGACUGUAAGAAGUACAGUUAAUAUUAGAAAGGUAAGGACGAUUUUCCAAAUGGUUACAAUUAUCUUUCCAAAAUGGACUAAAAAGUUUAUUUGGUUCUUUAUGAAACUACAAGCACACAUCCCGUACAGGGAAAUAAAACAGAGAGGUACAUGGAAAUUUACCAGACAAGGUCGUCUGAGGGCCUGUGAGUCACUGCACUCAAACACAUUUUUAGUACAUCAUUUCAGUGAUUUGUACAUUUUGUUUCUAGACAGUGUCAAGUGGGACAUCAUUAUUUCUCCGGGGACAGGUAAACUAUUUGGUGAGUGAUUAAGCUCCUAUUCUGCAAUAACUAAUGUUUAUUCAGCCAUAACUUUACAUUGGUGUUUCUAUAUAUUUGCAUAAAUUGAGAUUCAUGAAGAUGCCUAAGACACUCAAUUUCCACAGUCAUAUCCUCUUAACCAUUCUGAGGCCAGUGGUAUUUAAUGGAUAGUAUAGGUCAGUGGCCUCACCACAAGUUUCUCAGUGGCCAGACCCUAGCUUUCUAGGAUAAGUCUGAUGGCAUGCUUCCUGUAUCCGUCACCAAUGUCCUCACAUUUCUCUGCUUUCUUAUUCUAGUAAACAGCACCACCAUUUUGCCUGUCCUUGACAUUUAAAAUACACAUCUGUAAAUUUCUAUCAAGAAAACUUUUUUUUUAAAAUACGGUUGUUAUAAUGCAUACCUAUAACCCCACUACAUCACUUGGAAGGUGGACACACAGGAACAGGAUUCUCAAUCAGUCUCAGUACCACAGCAGGUUUAAGACAUCCUCAGUUACAUGAGCCUUCUCUUAAAACAAAGCCAAGAAACGGUUUUUCCUUAGAAUUUAAGUUUAUAAAUAUGCAUGUGUCCACAUAAACUUAUUGUUCAUACUUAAAUCUGACAACUCCUAAGUUUCUUAGAUUUAUUUGGGGCAGCGACAGAGCAUCAGCAAUAACAACAAAAACAAAAAACAAAAACAAAACCUUUUUUUUAACCAGGAGGCAAGUAAUAAGAAGACAAAAUACAAAAUGUAUACAUAUGUGUUCUCCUACUUUAUGAUCAUUUAGAAAUGGCCUAGGUUCCCCUUUCAUUUUCUUCUUUCCACAGUUACACAAUGAUGGUUGUGCCUUUAAUCUAAUGUUUCAUCCUCCUCGUGCCAACUUGUCUUUUUAUUCCUGAUGUCUGUCUUUGUUCCAUGGAUGAGACGACACACAUUGGUCUGCUGUGGGAAGCCGCCCCCACAUUCGCCGUCACAAGAUGGCGCUGACAUCCUGUGUUCUAAGUUGGUAAACAAAUA